CACGUAGGGGGCGAGCGUUGUCCGGAUUUAUUGGGCGUAAAGAGCUCGUAGGUGGCUUAGUAAGUCGGGUGUGAAACCUCCAGGCUCAACCUGGAGACGCCACCCGAUACUGCUAUAGCUUGAGUCCGGUAGGGGAGCGUGGAAUUCCUGGUGUAGCGGUGAAAUGCGCAGAUAUCAGGAGGAACACCGAUGGCGAAGGCAGGUCUCUGGGCCAUAACUGACGCUGAGAAGCGAAAGCAUGGGGAGCGAACAGG
rnacentral:rRNA from 1 species